rnacentral:rRNA from 1 species
CCUACGGGAGGCAGCAGUGGGGAAUAUUGCACAAUGGGGGAAACCCUGAUGCAGCGACGCCGCGUGAGCGAUGAAGUACUUCGGUAUGUAAAGCUCUAUCAGCAGGGAAGAAAAUGACGGUACCUGACUAAGAAGCCCCGGCCAACUACGGUCCAGCAGCCGCGGUAAUACGUAGGGGGCGAGCGUUAUCCGGAUUUACUGGGUGUAAAGGGAGCGUAGGCGGUCCUGCAAGCCAGAUGUGAAAGCCCGGGGCUCAACCCCGGGACUGCGUUUGGAACUGUAAGGCUAGAGUGUCGGAGGGGCAGGCGGAAUUCCUGGUGUAGCGGUGGAAUGCGUAGAUAUUAGGAGGAACACCAGUGGCGAAGGCGGGCUGCUGGGCAUUAACUGACGCUGAGGCGCGAAAGCGUGGGGAGCGAACAGGAUUAGAUACCCUGGUAGUC